rnacentral:rRNA from 1 species
GCGGAGGAAAAGAAACCAACAGGGAUUGCCCCAGUAACGGCGAGUGAAGCGGCAACAGCUCAAAUUUGAAAUCUGGCCUUCUGGUCCGAAUUGUAAUUUGUAGAGGAUGCUUUUGGUUAGGUACCUUCCGAGUUCCUUGGAACAGGACGCCUUAGAGGGUGAGAGCCCCGUACGGUUGGAUACCGAGCCUCUGUAAAGCUCCUUCGACGAGUCGAGUAGUUUGGGAAUGCUGCUCUAAAUGGGAGGUAAAUUUCUUCUAAAGCUAAAUACCGGCCAGAGACCGAUAGCGCACAAGUAGAGUGAUCGAAAGAUGAAAAGCACUUUGAAAAGAGGGUUAAAUAGUACGUGAAAUUGUUGAAAGGGAAGGGCUUAUGACCAGACCUUUGCCUUGCGGAUCAUCCGGUGUUCUCACCGGUGCACUUCGCUUGGUUUAGGCCAGCAUCGAUUUCGGUAGGGGGAUAAAGACUUUAGUAAUGUGGCUCCUCCGGGAGUGUUAUAGACUAUUGUGUAAUACCUUUACUGGGAUCGAGGACCGCGCUUCGGCUAGGAUGCUGGCAUAAUGGUCAUCAGCCACCCGUCUUGAAACACGGACCAAGGAGUCGAACAUUUAUGCGAGUGUUUGGGUGUUAAACCCUCACGCGUAAUGAAAGUGAACGGAGGUGAGAGCCCUUUUGGGUGCAUCAUCGACCGAUCCUGAUGUCUUCGGAUGGAUUUGAGUAAGAGCAUAACUGUUCGGACCCGAAAGAUGGUGAACUAUGCGUGGAUAGGGUGAAGCCAGAGGAAACUCUGGUGGAGGCUCGCAGCGGUUCUGACGUGCAAAUCGAUCGUCAAAUCUGCGCAUGGGGGCGAAAGACUAAUCGA